AGAGAGUGCAAGCGUUAAUCGGAAUUACUGGGCGUAAAGCGCGCGUAGGUGGAUAUCUAAGUCGGGAUGUGAAAGCCCUGGGCUUAACCUAGGAACUGCACCCGAUACUGGGUAUCUAGAGUAUGAUAGAGGGAAGUGGAAUUUCCGGUGUAGCGGUGAAAUGCGUAGAUAUCGGAAAGGACACCAGUGGCGAAGGCGGCUUCCUGGAUUAAUACUGACACUGAGGUGCGAAAGCGUGGGGAGCAAACAGGAUUAGAGACCCUGGUAGUCCACGCCGUCAACGAUGAGAACUGGCUGUUGGGAGGGUCUACCUCUUAGUAGCGAAGCUAACGCGUUAAGUUCUCCGCCUGGGGAGUACGGCCGCAAGGUUA
rnacentral:rRNA from 1 species